CCCUUAGAUGUCCUGGGCCGCACGCGCGCUACACUGACAUGUUCAACAAGCCUCCUAGUUCGACAGGAUUUGGGAAAUCUUUGAACGCAUGUCGCGAUAGGGAUAGAUCAUUGCAAUUAUUGAUCUUGAACGAGGAAUUCCUAGUAAACGCGAGUCAUCAGCUCGCAUUGAUUACGUCCCUGCCCUUUGUACACACCGCCCGUCGCACCUACCGAUUGAAUGUUUCGGUGAAGAUUCCGGAUAGGACUUUUUUGAUUUAUUUCAAUUCUGUCUUAAAAGCUAUCUAAACCUCAACAUUUAGAGGAAGGUGAAGUCGUAACA
rnacentral:rRNA from 1 species